GCAAGUGAACUGAACUUCUGCGUCGGUGUAGGCUACACUGUAUUCUUGAAAUGCACCUAACUUUAAUCAUGCACUGAGAUUUAUUUUAGAGGAAAAAAACUAUUUGGACGUUCGGGUUGAUGGUAGACAGGGACCCAUGAGCGGAAAUGAAAGAUUUUCCCAUCAAAAAAUUAUUCUUGAAAGAAAACUUGGGACUGAUUGUGUGCGCUUUGCUGUCUUGUCAGUGUUAUGCAUGAGAUCUAAAAGCAGCCCCAGCCGGACCAGACACACACCUAUCUGCAAGCAGCCCUUGAUCAUGUGCACUGCCGGGACAGGCCUGCUCAGUUAUGAAUGCCCUCCCAGUGAUCUCUAUGUGUACUGUAGCCUACUUCCUACUGCACCUUAUUUAGGACCAGUGGCUUUUUUGCAUUUCCUCCUCCUAUGGAGCUGACCUCUGUUUAAAUGAGACUGUUGGUGAGUGUUCCGUUUCAGUUUCAGUUUCAUCCGUGUGAUUUAGAUCAUCUUCAUGCUACCAGUUUGAGGUCAGGGGGCCUCCAGGGUUUCCUGGAGAGCCUCCUAGGGGCCCUCCACUACAAAGAUUGAACUUGAGCACAAAACGGAUAGAGAUAAUAACAUACUUUCACCCGUUUGCAUGAGUAGAAACAAUGUACAGCUCAUUUAUAAAUCGCGGAUAGCUGCACAAAUCUGAACUCUGUGAGAAAAUGGACAUGAAUUGUUUUUAUACAAUAUGCACAAUGUAUGUUCCUAAAGUGACAAGUAAAGUUUCUACCCAAAUCAAAA